rnacentral:misc_RNA from 1 species
ACUGGGGUGAAGUCGUAACAAGGUAGCCGUAGGGGAACCUGCGGCUGGAUUACCUCCUUUCUAAGGAUGAAUGAAAGUAAAAAUUCAUUCUAAAUAAUAUACAUCGGUAAUGUUGACCGUCCUCAUUUCUCUUCUUAAAGUAAUGUUUCCUUCUUGUAGGGCCGGUAGCUCAGUUGGUUAGAGCACACCCUUGAUAAGGGUGGGGUCGAAAGUUCGAGUCUUUCUCGGCCCACCACACUUAACUGGGGGAUUAGCUCAGCUGGGAGAGCGCCUGAUUUGCAUUCAGGAGGUCAGCGGUUCGAUCCCGCUAUCCUCCACCAGGAAACAUUUAGUUAUAAAAAUUGUAAAUAAAAAUAAUAAUUAAUAUCAAUAUCUAUAUCCGAACAUUAGUAAUGUUAUUAACUAAUGUUCAAAAUAAAAAUUUGAUUCAACACAGAAGGAAUUUUUUUCUGUGCAUAAAUCAAGCGUUUAAGGGCGUGUAGUGGAUGCCUUGGCACUGAAAGCCGAUGAAGGACGUGAUAUACUGCGAUAAGUUUCGGGGAGCUGUAUGUAAGUUUUGAUCCGAAAAUUU